AUUGAACGCUGGCGGCAGGCCUAACACAUGCAAGUCGAGCGGCAGCGGGAAAGUAGCUUGCUACUUUUGCCGGCGAGCGGCGGACGGGAGAGUAAUGCCUGGGAAAUUGCCCAGUCGUGGGGGAUAACAGUUGGAAACGACUGCUAAUACCGCAUACGCCCUACGGGGGAAAGCAGGGGACCUUCGGGCCUUGCGCGAUUGGAUAUGCCCAGGUGGGAUUAGCUAGUUGGUGAGGUAAUGGCUCACCAAGGCGACGAUCCCUAGCUGGUCUGAGAGGAUGAUCAGCCACACUGGAACUGAGACACGGUCCGGACUCCUACGGGAGGCAGCAGUGGUGAAUAUUGCACAAUGGGGGAAACCCUGAUGCAGCCAUGCCGCGUGUGUGAAGAAGGCCUUCGGGUUGUAAAGCACUUUCAGCGAGGAGGAAAGGUUGAUGCCUAAUACGUAUCAACUGUGACGUUACUCGCAGAAGAAGCACCGGCUAACUCCGUGCCAGCCGCCGCGGUAA
rnacentral:rRNA from 1 species